UACGGAGGGUGCAAGCGUUGUCCGGAAUCACUGGGCGUAAAGGGCGCGUAGGCGGCUCAUGAAGGCUGUGGUGAAAGUCCGGGGCUCAACCUCGGAUCGGCCGUGGCGACUCGUGGGCUGGAGCACUGUAGAGGCGGGUGGAAUUCCGGGUGUAGCGGUGGAAUGCGUAGAGAUCCGGAAGAACACCAGUGGCGAAGGCGGCCCGCUGGGCCUUACCUGACGCUGAGGAGCGAAAGCGUGGGGAGCGAACAGG
rnacentral:rRNA from 1 species